rnacentral:lncRNA from 1 species
AGAAGGCCCAGGAGAAAGGAUAAGUCAAUGCGGUUUCUUGCAUGUUACUUCUGACGACCACCAAACAGAAGGCGGGGUUUCUUUGGCAAGUCCAACAAAGGGAGGGCGAUGGAGAUGGAGUGAGGGCGCCUCUCCUCCCUGUCACCAGGAGAGACACGUGGAGACUGUUAGAGAAGACAGGUGCUCAAAAGCCAGGGCGAGGGGCCUCACUGGAACGAACCGAAUCAUAGGAGGAUUCUAUAGACUCCAGCACUGUGAGAAGCUAUUCAGGUUCAGAGGUAUUAACCAAGCUCUGACCUUCUGAGCCUCUACUCACUGCUAUCCCAAGUACUGGAGUCCCAUGGGAUCGUGAGGGUCAGAGAGGUAACAAGGUGGCUUGGAGGAGUAUGUGGAUAUCUCAGAACACCGGAGGCAAAAUGGCUGCAGCUUCGAGUACUGGUGAAUCCAGGAGCUCAAACGUGGAGUCAAGAUUCCCUCCCUCGCUUCCCUGCUUGUCAGCUGUGGUUGUCUCUGCUCCUCUUUGGUGACUUUUAGGAGGUAUGUGCUGGGCACCCCUCUGCACACAGCAUCGCCGUGGCUGUGGUGAGAACGCUGGUUUCUUUUAAAACCACGGAAAUAUGAUGCG